ACACACACACACACGCGUGUGCGGUGUUUCGGACACCGUCACAUGUCCCCGUUGAACGUUUUCUUCACACAUUCUCUGUAAAUUCGAGGCGUCGGCUCUGAAAGCUGAUUGACAGCAGGUGAGUGAGACCACGUUCAUACGUGUCAUCUCCUUCCCGUCAGCACCCGCCCCCUUCACCUGGUCUCACCUGCAGCCCGUCCCCUCAUUAGCCCCGCCCCUCACAUCCACCGGUUCCCUCAGGGUCUCUUGUGUACGUCACCGGGCGCCGCGUGGUCGUGAUCUCACCCUGGAUUGGUUUGGUUUGCUUGAGGACCGACCUCCUGGUUCUUGACCCGGUCCAAACGUAGGAAUCCUGACCACACCUGUUCUCCGUGUCGAGCAGUCGGCUUCCAGUGCUCAGGGCUCACUGAGAGCUCGGGUCAGGGAGCGAGGCUCUGAUGGUUCCACGUCUCCAUGGAAACGCCCACGGCCACUCUCCAACUGGAAACAAAGGGCUCAAAUAUGUUUACGUAUUAUCUUCACGAGUCCAGAAGAACGUCAGCUGGAGGUUUAAUGUCCCAGAGCUCCAUACGAACAUAUUUCAUCCUCGAGGGGAGAUCACAGCAACAAUGUCUGGUCCCAGAACGGUUCUAACAAACAAACCUGGAGAAGAACACCUGGUGAACAAAUAAACCAGGUCUGUUUGAUCUAACAGACAUCUGAUCUAACACCAAUUAUCUCAAGUUGUUUCCGGUGAGGAUUAAAGUUCAAUAGACUCCUAGAUGACAAUGUUUUUUUGUUUAGUUUUAUUUCAUUUAAUUGUCCACGUGACGCUUCAUUCUUCCUCCUCAGGUCCUCCUUACGGCUGGGAGGAGGCCUACACCGCAGACGGAGUCAAGUACUUCAUCAAUCACAUGACCCAGACCACCUCGUGGAGCCUCCCCGGGGGCGGCGGCCAUGUCCCUCCUCGUCCUCCGGAGGUCUCCGGGCCGAAGACGGAGCGCAACGGGGAGCCGACGGAGCGGAAGUCCAUCGAGACGGAGAUGUGACGCCCUGGGACCGCCGCCUCUGUCGGACUCCUCACGUCAGAUAUAAUAAUAAAUAUUAUUGUGUAAUAAAUUGAU